rnacentral:rRNA from 1 species
AACGAACGCUGGCGGCAGGCUUAACACAUGCAAGUCGAGCGAGACCUUCGGGUCUAGCGGCGGACGGGUGAGUAACGCGUGGGAACGUGCCCUUCUCUACGGAAUAGCCCCGGGAAACUGGGAGUAAUACCGUAUACGCCCUUUGGGGGAAAGAUUUAUCAGAGAAGGAUCGGCCCGCGUUGGAUUAGGUAGUUGGUGGGGUAAUGGCCCACCAAGCCGACGAUCCAUAGCUGGUUUGAGAGGAUGAUCAGCCACACUGGGACUGAGACACGGCCCAGACUCCUACGGGAGGCAGCAGUGGGGAAUCUUAGACAAUGGGGGCAACCCUGAUCUAGCCAUGCCGCGUGAGUGAUGAAGGCCUUAGGGUUGUAAAGCUCUUUCAGCUGGGAAGAUAAUGACGGUACCAGCAGAAGAAGCCCCGGCUAACUCCGUG